rnacentral:rRNA from 1 species
AAAGAUUUAUCAAUGAACUGAGUGACCAUUUGAAUGAGCAAUCAUUCAGCACAGUCAAUUCAACAUUACUUCGCUUUUUA